AUCUUUCUUUUUUUUUUCUUUCUUUCUUUCUUUUUUUAAGAGAGAGAGAGAGAGAGAGAGAGAGAG
rnacentral:sRNA from 1 species